GGCGAACGCUGCGGCGUGCCUAAUACGAUGCAAGUCGAGCGGACCUUCGGGUUAGCGGCGGACGGUGAGUAACACUGGGUAAUCUGCCCAACUGACUGGAAUAACGCCUGGAAACGGGUGCUAAUGCCGGAUAGGCAACUGGUAGGCAUCUACCGGUUGGGAAAGGUGCAACUGCACCGCAGAUGGAGGAGCCCGCGGCGCAUUAGCUAGUUGGUGGGGUAACGGCUCACCAAGGCAACGAUGCGUAGCCGACCUGAGAGGGUGACCGGCCACACUGGGACUGAGACACGGCCCAGACUCCUACGGGAGGCAGCAGUAGGGAAUCUUCCACAAUGGGCGCAAGCCUGAUGGAGCAACGCCGCGUGAGUGAAGACGGCCUUCGGGUUGUAAAGCUCAGUCACUCGGGAAGAGCGGACGAGGGAGUGGAAAGCCCUCGUCGAGACGGUACCGAGAGAGGAAGCCCCGGCUAACUACGUG
rnacentral:rRNA from 1 species